rnacentral:lncRNA from 1 species
GGAUGGAGGACUCAAGUAAAGGUCUCAAUCUUGCCACCCCCAACUCUGUUCUUCAAGUCUUUCUGUAAUCUCAACAAUGGAAAAAAGUAUUCCUGCCUUUCCAGGUUCCGACGGCUGUUCCAAGAACCAAAGGAACACAAUGCAGGCCUGUGGAGUACAGGACACAGGAGCUGGCUCGCUUUCCUGCUGCUCAAGCGAUCCACUAAAAGCAAGACCUUCUGCGUGCUCUGAAUGUGAGAUGGAUCUCAUCCAAGGAAAGGAGUCAGUGUGUGUUGGCUCUGACCAGCCGCUAUCACAUCUGUCUCGGCAGAAGCCCCUGAGCAGUUCUGCGGGAUAAACCCAGGUCCUGCCGCACUCAGCAUAGCGCUCCAGCCCGUGCGCGGUCUCUUCCCGAGGCAUCUGUGCCCGUGUCCCCGCCCAACCCCUAGGCUCACACCACUCCCUCAUGGGCCAGAAAUCCCAUCCCUUCUUCCCUUUACACCCGUCCUCACUGGUCACUCCUUUGCACUGUCCCUGCUUUCCCGCUGCCGGUGGGAAGCACCUUCCCUUGCUCCUCCCACUCCCCUGGGCUGGUCCAGUGAUUAUUUCCUCCGGCCUUGUGGGGCCAGCAGGUCCUAUGCUCAUUUCCUGCAUCAGAUUCUGAAUUUCUGAGCUCGGUGUGCAUUUUGUCACCCUCUGAAACA